AGCCACCAGCCCCAAGGACCUGUCACCACCUCCAGGGACAUCUCAGCGUGGCCACCAGUUCCUUACACCUCGCCAACAUGAGCACCGGCUCUGGGGACACUUCACUGUGGCCACCACCUCCAGGGACGUGUCACCAUAGUCACCAGCUUCAGGGACACCUCACCACCAUGGCCACCAGCUUCAAAGACGUGUCACCAUCACGGGCACCAGCUCUGGGGAUGCCUCACCAUGGGCACCAGUUCCAAGAUGUCACCACUUUAGGCACCAGCUCUGUGGCCACCUCACCAUGGUCACCAACUUGGGGGACACCUUACCACGAGCACCAUCUCCAUGGACACCUCACCAACAUGGCCACCAGCUCCAGGGACACCUCACCACAGGCCCCAGCUCUGGGGACACGCCCCACCGCCAUGGACACCAGCUCCAAGAUGUGUCACUAUGAUGGGUAUGAGCCCUGGGGACACUUCACCAUGGGCCCCAUCUCCAUGGAGACCUUGCUACCAUGGUCACCGGCUCUUGGGCCGUUACUACAGGCCCCUGGGACAUGUCACCAUGGCCACCAGCUCUGGGGACACCUCACUGUGGUCACCAGCUCCGGGAGCUGGUACCAGCUCACUGUGACCACUGUCUCUGGGGACACCCUCCCAUGGGCACCAGCUCUAGGGACACGUCACCACCAUGGGCACCAGCUCCAAGGAUACGGCACCACCAUCGGUACAAGCCCUGGAGACAUCUCCCCGUGGGCACCAGCUUUGGGGACACCUCACCACAGGCACCAUCUCCAUGGGCACCUCACCAACAUGGCCACCAGCUUUGGGGACAUCUCACCACAGGCACCAUCUCCAUGGACACCUCACCAACAUGGCCACCAGCUCCAGGGACACCUCAUCACAGGCACCAUCUCCAUGGACACCUCACCAACAUGGCCACCAGCUCCAGGGACAUCUCACCACAGUCCCCAGCUUUGGGGACACACCCCACCGCCAUGGACACCAGCUCCAAGAUGUGUCACCAUGAUGGGUAUGAGCCCUGGGGACACUUCACCAUGGGCCCCAUCUCCAUGGAGACCUUGCUACCAUGGUCACCAGCCCUUGGGACACCAUCUCCACAGGCAGGUGUCCCCUCCUGUCCUCCCCCCACCAUCUCACACACUUUGGGGCCCUGAGUGCUGGGGUUUUGGGGUCCCACCUCCACCGUGGGCUCUGGGCACGGNNNNNNNNNNNNNNNNNNNNNNNNNNNNNNNNNNNNNNN
rnacentral:lncRNA from 1 species